GGAAAAAGUAAGAAAAACAUGAUGUUAAUCAUUGUGGUCAUUGUUCCCUUUUUGCUGCUGACCACAUUGUAGAAUUCAUAUUCAUGACCAUAUCAUAAACGACGCAAGGGACUAAUCAGGGAACAGUUUUUCUUAACAGAAUCCAUGGCAAAGAUUUUAGAAAGAUUUCUUCGGGGUUUUGGGUUUUUUUUUCUCUAUUUGUUCCUCUUCUGAAAAUCAAGUCAGAUCUCCUUAACAUAUGUCAAAUUACGCAGCCAAAAGUUGAAGAACUCACAACCACUAGAUUCUUCUAAACACGCGGAACCCAGGUAUGUAGCAAGAGUCAGUAAGUGCUGGCACAGCUCUGUGGAGAAGGUGGCGGAAGUUGGAGCAGGAAGGCGCAAGGACUGAGUAAGGUGCAUAAAAUUCAUGAACAAGAAAAAAAAGGCCUUUGAAAUAGUUCAUCUGAAGUUUGACUUGAAAAGCACACAAGAACACAGAAACAGCAGUAAAGACUGAAGCACUCUAGGAUCAAAAACAAAUCAUUCAGAUGAAAAACUCUUUGACAUCCCCUAAGGAGAAAUAGAAAAGUUGCUCAACUUGGUGUGUAAAGACCUGAAGUUCCUCUCCUUUGUGACCAAAUUCACUGCAGCAGAAAUAUCCUCACAUCAGCUGUUUCCUGAAGCCAACAAAUUAUUCAAAUGGCACAUUCAACCUUUCUGCCAGGAACAGCCAGGGGAAAUACAUAAUGCUCUCCUGGGACCUGACCCUCCUCUUUUCCAGGUAAAGUUUGUCAUCUUUACCUUCCCAUCUAAAAACUAAUUUGCUUCUGAAAGGUGCUAUACCUGUAUAUUUCCUUACAUGGACAAGAUACCUAACUGCAGGGUGCAGGCUGCUGAUGAAUGGGUAGACCACAAAAUGAUCAGGGCCUUACUGUGAUCCUACAGAGUACCAGAAGAUCUAUUUAGUGUGU